rnacentral:rRNA from 1 species
UACGUAGGGUGCAAGCGUUGUCCGGAAUUAUUGGGCGUAAAGAGCUCGUAGGCGGUCUGUCGCGUCGGCUGUGAAAUCCCGGAGCUCAACUCCGGGUCUGCAGUCGAUACGGGCAAACUGGAGUACUGCAGGGGAGACUGGAAUUCCCGGUGUAGCGGUGAAAUGCGCAGAUAGUCGGGAGGAACACCGGUGGCGAAGGCGGUUCUCUGGGCCUGUUCUGACGCUGAGGAGCGAAAGCGUGGGGAGCGAACAGG